rnacentral:rRNA from 1 species
AUUGAACGCUGGCGGCAUGCCUUACACAUGCAAGUCGAACGGCAACGCGGGGCAACCUGGCGACGAGUGACGAACGGGUGAGUAACGCAUCGGAACGUGCCCAGUAGUGGGGGAUAGCCCGGCGAAAGCCGGAUUAAUACCGCAUACGACCUACGGGUGAAAGCGGGGGACCGUAAGGCCUCGUCCCAUUGGAGCGGCCGAUGUCAGAUUAGGUUGUUGGUGGGGUAAAAGCCUACCAAGCCGACGAUCUGUAGCUGGUCUGAGAGGACGACCAGCCACACUGGGACUGAGACACGGCCCAGACUCCUACGGGAGGCAGCAGUGGGGAAUUUUGGACAAUGGGGGCAACCCUGAUCCAGCCAUGCCGCGUGCGGGAAGAAGGCCUUCGGGUUGUAAACCGCUUUUGUCAGGGAAGAAACGCUCUGGGCUAAUACCCCGGGGUAAUGACGGUACCUGAAGAAUAAGCACCGGCUAACUACGUGCCAGCCGCCGCGGUAACAC